rnacentral:rRNA from 1 species
ACAUACAAGUAGUAGGGAAAGGAAACUGGACCGACCCUUCGGGGAGGCUUGUACAGGUGCUGCAUGGCUGUCGUCAGCUCGUGUCGUGAGAUGUUCGGUUAAGUCCGCUAACGAGCGCAACCCUCGCUGUGUGUUACAAGUGUCACACGGAACUGCCGGUCAUAAACCGGAGGAAGGUGGGGAUGACGUCAAGUCAGCAUGGCCUUUAUAUCCUGGGCUACACACACGCUACAAUGGGAAGGGGGCAAUAGGUUGCGAAGCCGCGAGGCGGAGCCAAUCCAGCAAAACUUCCCUCAGUUCAGAUUGCAGGCUGCAACUCGCCUGCAUGAAGUUGGAGUUGCUAGUAAACGCAGGUCAGCCAUACUGCGUUGAAUACGUUCCCGGGGCUU